AUUGAACGCUGGCGGCAUGCUUUACACAUGCAAGUCGAACGGUAACAGGCCGCAAGGUGCUGACGAGUGGCGAACGGGUGAGUAAUGCAUCGGAACGUGCCCAGUCGUGGGGGAUAACUACUCGAAAGAGUAGCUAAUACCGCAUACGAUCUAUGGAUGAAAGCGGGGGACCGUAAGGCCUCGCGCGAUUGGAGCGGCCGAUGUCAGAUUAGGUAGUUGGUGGGGUAAAGGCUCACCAAGCCAACGAUCUGUAGCUGGUCUGAGAGGACGACCAGCCACACUGGGACUGAGACACGGCCCAGACUCCUACGGGAGGCAGCAGGGGGGAAUUUGGGACAAUGGGCGCAAGCCUGAUCCAGCAAGGCCGCGUGCAGGAAGAAGGCCUGCGGGUGGUAAACUGCUUUUGUACGGAACGAAACGGCUCUGGUUAAUACCCGGGGCUAAUGACGGUACCGUAAGAAUAAGCACCGGCUAACUACGU
rnacentral:rRNA from 1 species